UACGGAGGAUGCGAGCGUUAUCCGGAUUUAUUGGGUUUAAAGGGUGCCUAGGCGGGCUUUUAAGUCAGCGGUAAAAAUUCGGGGCUCAACCCCGUCCGGCCGUUGAAACUGGGGGCCUUGAGUGGGCGAGAAGAAGGCGGAAUGCGUGGUGUAGCGGUGAAAUGCAUAGAUAUCACGCAGAACCCCGAUUGCGAAGGCAGCCUUCCGGCGCCCUACUGACGCUGAGGCACGAAAGUGCGGGGAUCGAACAGG
rnacentral:rRNA from 1 species